rnacentral:rRNA from 1 species
CCUACGGGGGGCAGCAGUGGGGAAUAUUGCGCAAUGGGCGAAAGUCUGACGCAGCGACGCCGCGUGAGGGAUGAAGGUCUUCGGCUCGUAAACCUCUGUCCGCAGGGAAGAACGGUCACUGUGCUAAUCAGCAGUGAAUUGACGGUACCUGCAAAGGAAGCACCGGCUAACUCCGUGCCAGCAGCCGCGGUAAUACGGAGGGUGCGAGCGUUAAUCGGAAUUACUGGGCGUAAAGCGCUCGUAGGCGGUAUGGUAAGUCAAGGGUGAAAUCCCCGCGCUCAACGUGGGAACUGCCUUUGAAACUGUCAAACUAGAGUGUGGGAGAGGAUAGUGGAAUUCCAGGUGUAGGAGUGAAAUCCGUAGAUAUCAGGAGGAACAUCAGUGGCGAAGGCGACUAUCUGGCACAGAACUGACGCUGAGGAGCGAAAGCGUGGGUAGCAAACAGGAUUAGAUACCCUGGUAGUC